UAUUCUCCAGCAGUAUUUGGACUUCCAAAUGUUUCUCUUCCCCUGAUAAAUCUAUAUUAGAAAAAUAGGCAAUUUAGUGCUGUUUAAAAUGAAUGGAUCUCUAUUUCAAGGUGGCAUGUCUAGUACACUUAUGUGCACCGCCUCACAAGCACAUUGAAAUAACAGAAAAGGACACUAUGAAUUAGGACAAUGGACUGAAAAAUAAGCAGAAAACUUAAACACACCAGUGACCACAGUGCAACUGCAACUGACGAUCAGUUUCCACCAAACUGCAACAGAGAGUGGCUUUGCCGCCUGGGCCAGCUGAGGACUCUCCUUGGACCCCACAGAAGCAGUUUGUUUCCACCUACUCCCAAGAGCUGAAGAUUAUAAGCCAGAAGCAAACAAAGGCAGGCAAGGAAAUUUGAGGUUGUUGCAUCUGGAAGUAAACAUGUAGCUACUACUUCUAAUAAAACAGAGGGACAAGUUUUGAUUGAUUACCUGAAAAAUUCAAUUCUAUCUUGGGACAAGUUUUGAUUACCUGAAAAAUUCAAUUCUAUCUUGGGACAAGUUUUGAUUACCUGAAAAACUCAACUCUAUCUUUUGAUUUGGUCUGGACACUUGGAGGUGAGCAACCGAGAGCAGGAAGGAGGCAGAGCAACAACAGAAGAACAACAAGGGGCCGCCACAGGGGCGGUGGGGGUCAAAAGGAAGCAACCUGGAGGAUAGUCCUCCUUGCGGCUUGGAGCAGAGCUUCAGGUUGGGCACCAUGACAGAGCUGGGCCGGAAGUCUAACACAGCCUGUUUGGAACACAACCCGGGAUACCUGUGUGGUUGGGUUCAAUCAGUCAAGGGAAACAAGAAGAUAAUCUGUGGCUGGGAAUGUUCAUGGAAUGCUCGUGGAAUACUCAGCGCAAAGACUCCCCGCAAGCGCAAAGGGUAUCAAGUAAGGGUUAAAUGGGAAGUUGGGUCAUGGUGUGGAAUCAUAUUAAGGUCAGCAUUGAUGGCUUCCAGAACUUAGAUAGAGAGCGUGUCUUAAUGCAGGAGUGUGACUAUAGCCUGGGGUAAGAUGGUGGCAGUACCUCAUGUGGGAGCUGUGGAAGGCUGACAUCCCUCUUCUUACUUCGGCUCAUACUGCAGAAGUGGGCCUAGAACUCGGUGUGGGAUGACUUACUUUGAAAAUGAGUUUCAAAGUAAAGAAACAGAACUUUUGACCUUUGGGACCAGACUCUUCCAAGCUCAAACAAUGACUUUCGUUAAUGUGGCAGACUGUAUUUUCCUAGAAUUCCCACGACAAGAUUUCUAGUCCUAUAUGCUCUUCAAGAACCUUGUGACUCCCUACCAAGAGGUGGAGUUCACCGCUUGAACUGCCUAGGACCGCCCUGACAAAUGCUGUGAGGCAGAAGUGAUGCUGCGUGACUGCCAAGGCUAGGUCAUAAAAGGCAGUAUUGCAUCUGUCUGGUUCUCUCUCUCUCUCUCUCUCUGUGUGUGUGUGUGUGUGUGUGUGUGUGUAUCUGUGCAUAUUUUAGUUUGUGAUUGUCUAUGUUUGGUUUCAUUAAUCUACAAAAAAGAAAAACCCCUUUUUAUCUUCCAGAAAUUCUUUGUUAGAUCUGGUAGUUUUGGUAUCCUUUCUGGGAUUCUGGAUUAUUUUAUUUAUUUUUAGAGACAAGAGUCUCUCUCUGUUGCCCAGGCUGGAGUGCAGUGGCGCCAUCACUAAAGCCUCCAACUCCUGGUCUCAAGAGAUCCUUCUGCCUCAGCCUCUGGAGUAGCUGGGAUUACAGGCUUGUGCCACCAUGCCCAGAUAAUUUCUAAAUUUUUUUGUAGAGACAGGCUUUGUUCUGUUGCCUUGGCUGGUCUUGACUUCUUGGGCUCAAAAGAUCCUUCUGCCUCAACUUCCCAAAAAAUGAUGUAAGCCACCAUGCCUGGCUUGGAGUGUUAUUUUAAAAAUACAUUUUCUGUCAUUUCCAUGGGGCUUUGGCAGGGAGGGACAAAAAGCAUGUGUUCAGGCCACCUUCUUGAUCUAGCCAUUUCUGCUCUUUUAAAAACACAUAAAAUAUGUAAUUUCAAAAGCAUUUUUCCCUUUGCAACUUUAUUAUAC